GUGGGGAAUAUUGGGCAAUGGGCGCAAGCCUGACCCAGCAACGCCGCGUGAAGGAAGAAGGCUUUCGGGUUGUAAACUUCUUUUACCAGGGACGAAACAAAUGACGGUACCUGGUGAAUAAGCCACGGCUAACUACGUGCCAGCAGCCGCGGUAAUACGUAGGUGGCGAGCGUUAUCCGGAUUUAUUGGGUGUAAAGGGCGUGUAGGCGGGACAGCAAGUCAGAUGUGAAAACCAGAGGCUCAACCUCUGGCCUGCAUUUGAAACUGUUGUUCUUGAGUGUCGGAGAGGUAAUCGGAAUUCCGUGUGUAGCGGUGAAAUGCGUAGAUAUACGGAGGAACACCAGUGGCGAAGGCGGAUUACUGGACGAUAACUGACGCUGAGGCGCGAAAGCGUGGGGAGCAAACAGGAUUAGAUACCCUAGUAGCCC
rnacentral:rRNA from 1 species